rnacentral:rRNA from 1 species
GAUGAACGCUAGCGGCAGGCUUAAUACAUGCAAGUCGUGGGGCAGCGCAGUGUAGCAAUACAUGGGCGGCGACCGGCAAACGGGUGCGGAACACGUACACAACCUUCCUACAAGUGGGGAAUAGCCCAGAGAAAUUUGGAUUAAUACCCCGUAACAUAUAAAGAUGGCAUCAUUUUUAUAUUAUAGCUACGGCGCUUGUUGAUGGGUGUGCGGCUGAUUAGGUAGUUGGCGGGGUAAUGGCCCACCAAGCCUGCGAUCAGUAGCUGAUGUGAGAGCAUGAUCAGCCACACGGGCACUGAGACACGGGCCCGACUCCUACGGGAGGCAGCAGUAAGGAAUAUUGGACAAUGGGCGCAAGCCUGAUCCAGCCAUGCCGCGUGAAGGAUUAAGGUCCUCUGGAUUGUAAACUUCUUUUAUAAGGGACGAAA